AGAGUUUGAUCAUGGCUCAGAUUGAACGCUGGCGGCAUGCGUAACACAUACAAGUCGAACGGUGUUUGGUGCUUGCACCAGACAUAGUGGCGGACGGGUGAGUAAUGCGUAGGAAUCUGUCUUAGAGAGGGGGACAACCCGAGGAAACUUGGGCUAAAACCGCAUAUUCUCGAGAGAGGAAAGCAGGGGACCGGAAACGGCCUUGUGCUCUAAGGUGAGCCUACGUCGGAUUAGCUAGUUGGUAGGGUAAAAGCCUACCAAGGCGAUGAUCUGUAGCUGGUCUGAGAGGACGGACAGCCACACUGGGACUGAGACACGGCCCAGACUCCUACGGGAGGCAGCAGUGGGGAAUAUUGGACAAUGGGGGGAACCCUGAUCCAGCGAUGCCGCGUGUGUGAAGAAGGCCUGCGGGUUGUAAAGCACUUUCAGUGGGAAAGAGAAGCGUCUUGUGAAUAAUGGGACGUGGAGACGUUACUCACAGAAGAAGCACCGGCUAACUCUGUG
rnacentral:rRNA from 1 species